AGCGCAGGCGGUUUCUUAAGUCUGAUGUGAAAGCCUUCGGCUCAACCGAAGAAGUGCAUCGGAAACUGGGAAACUUGAGUGCAGAAGAGGACAGUGGAACUCCAUGUGUAGCGGUGAAAUGCGUAGAUAUAUGGAAGAACACCAGUGGCGAAGGCGGCUGUCUGGUCUGUAACUGACGCUGAGGACUCGAAAGCAUGGGUAGCAAACA
rnacentral:rRNA from 1 species